rnacentral:rRNA from 1 species
GACGAACGCUGGCGGCGUGCUUAACACAUGCAAGUCGAGCCGGUAAGGCCCUUUCGGGGGUACGACGAGCGGCGAACGGGUGAGUAACACGUGGGUGACCUGCCCUCAGCUCUGGGAUAAGCCUGGGAAACCGGGUCUAAUACUGGAUAUGACUCCAUGACGCAUGUUGUGGGGUGAAAGCCUUGUGCGGCUGAGGAUGGGCCCGCGGCCUAUCAGCUUGUUGGUGGGGUGAUGGCCUACCAAGGCGACGACGGGUAGCCGGCCUGAGAGGGCGACCGGCCGACACUGGGACUGA